rnacentral:rRNA from 1 species
CAGCCGCCGCGGUAAUACGUAGGGGGCGAGCGUUGUCCGAAGUUACUGGGCGUAAAGAGCGCGUAGGCUGGUCUUUAAGUGAGUGGUGAAAGGUUCGGGCUCAACCCUGGACAGGCAGUGGAAACUACCAAGCUGGAGUACGGUAGGGGCAGAGGGAAUUUCCGGUGGAGCGGUGAAAUGCGUUGAGGUCGGAAAGAACACCAACGACGCAAGCACUCUGCUGGGCCGACACUGACACUGAGAGACGAAAGCUAGGGGAGCAAAUGGGAUUAGAGACCCCAGUAGUCCCUGUCUCUUAUAC